CUCAAACUCAUAGCACAUCAUUCUGCCUCUUUCCAACUCAUAAUAUUCCCUUUAGAUUGUAUCUUCUCUGUUAAAAUGCGUAUUCAAGUAUUUUGUCUAUUUUAAUGAUUGUAUUUGCUUUUCUAUACAGUCAUGCAACACUUAAUGAAGGGGAUAAAUUCUGAGAAAUGCAUCACUAGGCAAUUGGUCAUUGUGCAAACAUCGUAGAGUGUACUUACACAAACCUCGAUGGUACAGCCUGCUACAUACCUAGGCUACAUGGUACUAAUCUUAUGGGACCACUGUCUAAUGAAUAUGGCGUCCCUCAUUGAAUGAAACAUCAUUAUGCAGUGAAUGACUGUACCUUAGUUGUAAGUAUUCUUUAUAUAUUAUUGAUGUAAAACUAUCAUCAGAUAUAUAAUUUGUACUUUUUGUUUGUAAAUUUAGGUCUAUGAUCCAUUUUGAGUUAAUGAUGUGUUUGGUCGGAAAUAUAGGUUUUAGUUCAUCUUUUUUGCAUGUGAGUAGUCAAUUACUUUUUACUAUUUAUUGCGAAGAGUAUCCUUCCCCAAUAAAUAGCCUUGGUAGCUUUGACAAAAAGCACUCAGCCAUUACGUGUUUAUUAUUGGAUCACUGAUUCUAUUACACUGAUAUAUUUGUCUACGUUAUACCAGUACCAAUUAACAUGUUUUGUAAUUUUCAGGAUUAAGUACUUUUCUUUCAUUAAAUUCAAUUCUAAGUAUUUUUAUGUUAUCAUGAAUCACAUUGUUUUCUUAAUUUCACAUUCAGAUAUUAUUUUGCAACUAUUUAGAAAUAAAAUUGUUUUUUGUAUAAUGAUUUUGUAUCUUGUGACUGUGAUGAACUCAGUUAUUCUAGUGGUUUUUGUGUGUGUAUGUGGAAUGCUUAUGAUUUUCUACUUAUAAGAUCAUGAAGUCUGUGAAUAAAAUCAGUUUUACUUCAACUUCAGAUGACUGACUGAUUUAUUAAUCUAUCAUCUAUCUACCCAUCUAUGUAUAUGUCAUCUAUGUAUCUAUCUACCUUUCUAAAUAUCUGUCUAUCUAUCAUCAGUACUGAGAGUGGACAUCCAGCGUUAUUUUUUUACUUUAAGGGGAAAUCACUCACUCCUUAAAUAUUCAGUGUGGUGCAAGAAGAAUGUUUGGUAGGUUGAACUAACUUUCUCUAUUUCUACUUUGCUCAGACUUUUUUUUUUAUCUUAAAUUGGUGUUGGAUUGUCUCAAACAACUUUUUCUGCAAUUAUUGAGGUGGCUAUAUGGUUUUUGUGUUUUAUUUUACAGAAUUGAUGUGUUACAGUAAUUGCUUUUCGUUUGUUAAACCCACCUUGCAUUCCUGGGAUAGAUCUUACUUGGUUGUGAUUUAUUACUCUUUAAGCGCAUUAUUGGAUUUAUUUUGCUAAUAUUUUUGCUGACAAUAUUUGUAUCUACAAAUGUGAGAGAUAUCAUAUUGUGUUUUCUUUCCUCAUGUUUCUUUUUUGACUUUGUUAUCAGGGUAAUACUGGCUUAAUAAAUAAAUUGAAAAGAAGAUCUCUCACAUGAGUUAAUCAACAGUUGCUAUUAUUAUUUAUAUAGAUGUUUAGUAAAUUUAGGUAGUGAAGCCAUCUGUGUCUAGAUAUUGGUAGGAGUGAAAAAUAUUUU
ensembl:lncRNA